rnacentral:rRNA from 1 species
AACGAACGCUGGCGGCAGGCCUAACACAUGCAAGUCGAACGCCGUAGCAAUACGGAGUGGCAGACGGGUGAGUAACACGUGGGAACGUACCCUUCGGUUCGGAAUAACUCAGGGAAACUUGAGCUAAUACCGGAUACGUCCGAGAGGAGAAAGAUUUAUCGCCGAGGGAUCGGCCCGCGUCUGAUUAGCUUGUUGGUGAGGUAACGGCUCACCAAGGCGACGAUCAGUAGCUGGCUGAGAGGGUGAUCGGCCACACUGGAACUGAGACACGGUCCAGACUCCUACGGGAGGCAGCAGUGGGGAAUUUUGCGCAAUGGGCUAACGCCUGACGCAGCAACGCCGCGUGGAGGAUGAAGGUCUUUGGAUUGUAAACUCCUGUCAGCAGGGAAAAAGGGAGGGGGAA